AUGGUGAGCUACGAUGAUGUCCGUGAUCAUGUGGCAUCUCUGUUCAUCAUGCUGAACAAGAAAACUGUUAUCUUGUUUCGCAUCGAGUUCCUGGUGGUCCUCGCCACACUGCUCUUCUUCGCCAUGUUCCUCAUGGAUUUCUUUCGCCGCAUGAUCCACAACUCGUUCAUGAGGGCCGUCUUCAGCGUCUUCGACGCCGUCUCCGACUCCAUUGUCCUGUACCUCCUGGGGGCCAUGCAAACGGCGCCUUUCAAGAAUCAGCUCUUCCCGGUGUGGGCUCUUAUGCUUGUCAAUUUCCGUUACAGUGCAGAUUACAUCUCCGGGUAUGGUGUUCCUGACCGCAGGGGGCGAAGGUUCACUGAGUGGAGGAACGUGUUCAAGCUCCUGGGAUCGGCGUUCCUGAAUUGGACGCGUGGAUCCAGAUUCACAGGUCCACUAUGGUCCGUCUGGUGUCUGCAGAUAGUGAGGAGUGCCUACAGAUUCUUCUCACAUAAACUGGCAGUCGGCUCCUUCUGGCAUGGCGGGAGUUCGCAGCUUGUUGCAGAACACAUGCGUGCCAGAUAUGAUGAUAGCACGAGCAACUCGCGAGUAGUGCCUGACCCAGUGACGAUGGAAGGCUACAACUACUUGGUGUAUGGAGAAGAAAGUCAUGGUUUCCAACUAAAGAAGCCUAUGUAUGCAUUUUCUGCCGACACUAGUGCCCGUCUGCCCGGAUGGUUCAGCCUAGCUAGAUGUCGUUGCUGUGCUGCAAGAGAAGAUACUUACAGCAGCACCAGGUCGCCAACACUGGUCACGCUGGACAAGGUCUGGCUAUGUUUUGGCGAUACACCUACCCAGAAGACCGACCUAAAGGAUCUCCCUCUGGCCUUCGCCUUGUCCAGGCUGCUGCGGUGCCGGCUUGAGGAUGUGACACUGCAUCCAUGUAUCUUUAAAGUAAACCGAGAGCUGGUCAAGAGCAUAAUUGGUGGGAAGGUGGGUGCCAGCGAUGCCCUCAGGAUCAUGGAGCUGCAGCUUGCCUUCGUCCACGACUAUUUCAACACCCGCCACCCCAUGGUGUUCUGGUCUGGGCUGCUAUCUCUCUUCGUCACCCUGUUUCUGUCCAUGCUGACCAUUGCUGCUGUCUGCUGGCUCGCUAUGGAUAUCCGUAGGGUCUAUAAGCCCCCAAACGGCGAGCUUGCUAAUAUGGUGAAGGGUUUUAAUAUCGACAUGAUCAUCACAUGGGCAUUCAUUUUAUUGAUGAUUGCCAAGGAGGUUUGGGAGAUGGUGACAUACUUACUCUCGGACUGGACACGCUUAAUCCUGGCGUGUGAGUAUGUGCAGAUGAGGUGGCAGAGGAACAAGUUUACAUGUCUGUAUCAGAUGCUAUUUUCGAUUUCCAGACGUAAAAUUACUGAUAAGAGGUGGCAUGGUUUCAUUGACCAGUAUUUCUUCAUGCAGUCGUAUGAUGACAGACCAAGACUUUGGAAUUUUGUUCACAACCUAACUACAGGAAUAAUUCCAAAGAAAGAUGAUGGGGCAAAGCUCAACUGUGCCAUCAAAGUUCCAGAGUUUGUCAAGAAGGCAGUUCUAGAGAAGCUCAGCACAAUUGUAGAGGAAGAACAAGGUUGUAGUCUGCCUAGGGUCAUCAAGACAUUGUCCAACAGUAACCUUAGGAAGCAGUUGCAGAACUACAAGGCUUACAGUGCACGACCGACGAGCACCCAGAUCCUCCUGCCAACAAGCUCUCACAUCAUUCUCAUGUGGCACAUUGCCACCAGCCUCUGCGAGAUGGAGCUUGCGACAAAACACGGCGUCAACUUGAGCAACCCUGGGUUUCCGUGUUCCCUCUUGUCUUGGUUGACUUCUUGCUGCUCAUCCAAACCGUAUCUUAUGGAUUUGGGUGAGAAGGAAGAUGACAUCUUGUCAUGGUUAACAAACUGCUGCUCAUCCAAGUCAAGUGAGAAUUUGCCUGAUGAGCUCCGGGAAUCAUACACCGUUGCGAAUAGCUUAUCGCGGUACUGUGCAUAUCUGGUGGUUGCAAAGCCAGACCUGAUCCCUGACAGCUUUCUUGUUCCCAAGAUAGUCUUCCAAAAAACUGUCCAGAGUGCUCGUGAUCGCUUUCUGAAAAACUGUGAUUCAUUAGAGAGCAGGCACAGAAAACUGAAAAACAAAGCAGAAAAACCUGUCAAAGACUCUGAAAAGGAAGAUGUAUUGAAACAAGGUGCCGUGCUGGGUAAGGAACUGCUCAAUCUUCCAACUGAUGAAGCUCGCUGGAAGAUCCUGGCAGGGGUAUGGACAGAGUUACUUAUACACAUUGCGCCCACGUGGAAUGCACAGGCACACAGGAAGUGUCUUUCUGGAGGGGAGUUCAUAACCCACAUCUGGGCAUUGCUUUGGCACUAUGGCAUCCAGAAUAGUAGCCUGUGGCCAAAUGAAGUUGCGACAGGAAACAAUGCUCCUGCAAUGCCUCAGAAUAAUGGUGUCGGAAAUGAACACAAUAUGGACGAGACAGGGCAAGCUUGUGCAGGCAUAAGCAACAACCAGAUUGAAAUUAAUGUUCAUGGACGGGAUGAGAUCAAGGGUGCACAAGAGCAUGAGACACGAAACUCAAGGAGAGGACCAAGAAGAAUGGAGGAAACAGAGAGUAUAGAAAUCGAGGAGGGGAAUCAGGAUGCGAUAGUGGAGGACACAAAAAUUCAGAGAGGAAUGGCUGGCUGGCCAAACACAAAACAAGAGUGA
rnacentral:rRNA from 1 species